AUAUGAAUCACCUGGGGGAUCCUAUUAAAAUGCAGAUUCUGACUCAGGAGGCCUGGGCUGGGACCUGAGAUCCUGCAUUGCUAACAGGCUCCCAGGUGAUGCCAGU
rnacentral:pre_miRNA from 1 species